rnacentral:rRNA from 1 species
GNGANCNGCCCGGUGAANUAUUUUUAACGGCCGCGGUACUCUGACCGUGCNAANNUAGCAUAAUCAUUUGCCUUAUAAUUGAAGGCUGGUAUGAAUGGUUUGACAAGAAUGAAGCUGUCUCUUUAUAAUUUGGUAGAACUUUAUUUUUAGGUGAAAAAGCCUUAAUUUAAUUAAUAGACAAAAAAACCCUAUCNAGCUUUAGAUAAACUAGUGGAUUAGAAUAAAAACUUUAUUUAAUUGAAAGAGUAAGCUGCUAGAUACUUUGGUUGGGGCGACUGAGGAACAUAUGAAGCUUCCUUUAAGUGUAUUUAACAUACGGGUAUUGAUCCAAAAAUGUUGAUUAAAGGAAUUAGUUACCGUAGGGAUAACAGCAUUAUCUUUUUUGAGAGUUCUAAUCGAAAAAAAGGUUUGUGACCUCGAUGUUGGACCAGAAUGUCCUAAAGAUGCAGAAGUCUUUAAGGGUUGGUCUGUUCGACCAUUAAAAUUCUA